UACGUAGGGUGCAAGCGUUGUCCGGAAUUAUUGGGCGUAAAGAGCUCGUAGGCGGUCUGUCGCGUCUGCUGUGAAAACUCAGGGCUUAACCCUGAGCUUGCAGUGGGUACGGGCAGACUAGAGUGCGGUAGGGGAGACUGGAAUUCCGUGGUGUAGCGGUGAAAUGCGCAGAUAUCAGGAGGAACACCGGUGGCGAAGGCGGGUCUCUGGGCCGUAACUGACGCUGGAGGAGCGAAAAGCGUGGGGAGCGAAACAGG
rnacentral:rRNA from 1 species